ensembl:snoRNA
GCCGAGACUAGAGUCACAUCCUGACAUGGCCCGUGUCCUGGUGUGCUAGAGUUCUCGGAGAGGAUCUGCUGGUCUUGAUUCACUGGUAGGGGCAGUCCGUGCCCCUGUUAGUGCCCAGAUCAGCAACAUGU